rnacentral:rRNA from 1 species
GAUGAACGCUGGCGGCGUGCCUAAUACAUGCGAGUCGAGCGAACAGACGAGGAGCUUGCUCCUCUGACGUUAGCGGCGGACGGGUGAGUAACACGUGGAUAACCUACCUAUAAGACUGGGAUAACUUCGGGAAACCGGAGCUAAUACCGGAUAAUAUAUUGAACCGCAUGGUUCAAUAGUGAAAGACGGUUUUGCUGUCACUUAUAGAUGGAUCCGCGCCGCAUUAGCUAGUUGGUAAGGUAACGGCUUACCAAGGCAACGAUGCGUAGCCGACCUGAGAGGGUGAUCGGCCACACUGGAACUGAGACACGGUCCAGACUCCUACGGGAGGCAGCAGCAGGGAAUCUUCCGCAAUGGGCGAAAGCUUGACGGAGCAACGCCGCGUGAGUGAUGAAGGUCUUCGGAUCGUAAAACUCUGUUAUUAGGGAAGAACAAAUGUGUAAGUAACUAUGCACGUCUUGACGGUACCUAAUCAGAAAGCCACGGCUAACUACGUG